CACGCAUGUUGAUCAUCGUUUGGAUUUAUCCCUUCUGGAUCCUUCCACCGCCUCCUUAUCUAAUAUCCCUUUUCAUCUUUGUCCACCGCCUCCUUAUCCAAUAUCCCUUUUCAUCUUUGUCUACUGAUUUCGUCGGAUGUGCGAUGUUUUUCAUUGUUUGGAUUUAUCCCUUCUGGAUCCUGGAGAAGCCACCCGACUUUCUUCUCCAGGUGCUUAUAAGAAGAUUCAAGUUUGAGAAUCUUCAAUCGCCUCACAUUUCUUCUAGCAGUCACCUCCGACUUUCUUGUCAGGUUCACAUCCAUCGACCUUUCCUUCCCCUUUUUUCUGCAAUUGAUUUGGUUUCGUAUUCUAAAAUUGUCAACACCGCCAUCACUCACGCUUCAGCUCUCAUAUUUACCCAACUAAUCACCAGACGUAACCUCCUAACCUCCAUCGGCGAGACCCUAGGAACGAAAAUUGUGAGGUAGCUUCACAUGUCCUCAUUCCGAUUCUCUAGUCACUGCAUCCACUGCAGGGCAUACCAGUGGUGUAUAUCUAUUGCUCUUUAGACCCUUUGGAUUCCAUCUGUAUCGAUAACUUCAUAUCAGCUGAAAACUCACGCAUAUACAGAUCAUAACAUGAUAGUGAGCUCUGAUUACGGAGCGUUCAUGGAGAAAUUCAUUCUCCCGGUGCAACUCGCCUUCAGUAGCCUCACUUUUGGUGUGAAAGACAUCUUCAAGUGGUUCUGAUGUAGCAGUUAGUGCGAACCUUACUAAUUUAUCUUUAGACACUUACCCAGGUGGAGGUGUAAGAGUUCCUGGAUCAUACUGUGGAAUCUUUGGGGUUUUGCCCAUGUCAUGGAAUCUUUAGGUUUCCAUUGAAGAAAUUAUUCCAUGGCACAGUGUUUUGAUAUUGUUGGUGAUGUUUUACAGUCUGUUAACAUUGGAGACAAUAUUCAAAGCAAGUUUUCAAGUUUGAAUUGUCACCUCCUCACAGAAUGGCACUUGAAGAGGCUAUAGGUUAUGUGGCUUCUGACUUACAUUAUUACUCUCCUCAUUGCAUUUAUCCAACCUAUAAUGAUUCUCUUUAGGAUUGAAUUAUGGGCCUAUGAUUGUUUUAAGAAUUCUAAUCGCCAACAUUGGUAAGAAAUCCAACUCUUUUCAUAAAAUUGUAAUGAAAAUUGAAAUUUGUAGCAUAAAUAAAGGAUUAGCCAUGUGGAUAUAUCUUUGUUCUUAAUAAGUCAUGAUGAAGCUUAUGGAUUAUGAACCAAAAUUACAAGAAUUUUUCUUAAGCCAAAAAUUACAAAUUUAAGUUGUAGUAAGGGACCAAAAAGUUAAUGAACUUCAUAUUUAAGAACCAAAAUUGCAAGGAAAAACUCCUUUUUGUUAUAAUUCACUUCAAUUGUUUCUAAUAUAUGAAAAUUUCAUAUCAAAACAAAUGUACAAGAGAAAAAAUAAGAAGCUUCACAUGGUGGAACACAAGAUAUUUGGGUGGGGUAUGUAUUUAUGAUCAUAAUCAUAUAUUUUAAACAUUUUCCAAUAGAUAUUACAUUAUGAUUGUAAUUCAUAAUCAUAUAUUAUGUCUUUUUUUAUUUAGAUGGGCAUGAUGAUUCAACAUUAUCAAUCCCAACUAUUACUGUUGUUCUCCAAUACAUGCUCUCUCCAACACAAAUGAGGGUAAUUUACUAAAAUAUGGCAUGAUAUUAAUUGUAGUAUUAAAAUAAUAAAAUCCAUGAACUUACACAAUCAGUUGACAUUCGUCUGGCUUUUAUUCAGAUUAGAUACUGUCAUUUUUUUGUUUUAUGUAUAAAUUUAGAGUUAAAAGUUUGUGUAGAUUUUGGAUACAAAGUUUUUUGGUGCUCCUGUGAUGCUCUGUUGUUGUUGUACAUUUCACUUAUUGAUUUUAGUUUAACCUAAUUAGUUGUUUUUAUGUUUUCAGAUUUCAUUAUGUUAUAACUUUUAAUGUGAACACCAAAACAGGAAGUCCAUUUGGAAGCAUAAGGCAAACAGCUGAACAAUCAUCUCUUAUGCUGAUCGUUACAUGUUGGCUGCCAUUCUUGUCUUUGAGAUCACCGAAUGACCAAAUAUCCCUUCACCUUUGUGUCAUAAUGAUUCAUUUGCUGAUUUCCAGGUAACUUUGGUGUAUUCAACAGUUGAUCAUAUUCGAUCUCCCCAAUUAAAAUCAAGCUUCUUUAUAGAACUCUUUGAUAUGUUCUAUUUUUUUGAAGCAUCCAAAACACAUACAUAUCUAACAGUGGCUCACUUUCAAUUCUUUUUUAAAUCUUGUCGGAGAGGGGAUUAUGAUCGGAUUUUCCAUACCAUCCGACCUUUGAAAAUCAUAAUACAAAACCUUAUGGUUGUUGCUAUUUCUUUCAUUUAGCCCAAAUCUUAACAUUGUCAUUGAAUGAUGGAAGAAUAGGAUCGUUGCUUUCAUGAAAUUUGUGUCAACAUGCCGUUAGAGUUUUCUUUCCACUUUGCAGAAUCUGUUUUGGUACUUUUUUUCUUAUAUUUAAGCACAAAUGUUUUUUUGGCAUAUAUAUUUCUUAAAUAUAGGCAUCACAGUAUGUUUGCAAUUUGUUUCUUUGUUAUUAUAUGAUAGUUUGAUUCAGCUUUUGAAUAUGUUCAACAA